GUACUUUCUUGUCUGAAUUGCUUUCUCCGCAAUGGUUCACUCUACAGUUUUGAAUAUGGAGUAAGCCCCUCUGUUUUCUUAUCCAAAGUGCGAGGUGGAACUUGCACUACUGCUGUGUCAGACCCUCCAGAGAUGGUUAUCCAUCGAGCAAUGCAUCUUCUCCAGAAUGGAUUUGGCAACUAUGAUGUGUUCCAAAACAACUGUGAGGACUUUGCGUUGUAUUGCAAAACAGGUCUUCUGACACUAGAUAGAUUGGGAGUUGGAAGAAGUGGACAAGCUUCUUCUGUUGUUGGUGCUCCUUUAGCUGCGCUUCUUUCUUCCCCCCUGAAGUUUCUAAUUCCUAGUCCCGUUGGCAUGGCCACUGUUACUGCAGGAAUGUACUGCAUGAGCAGAUAUGCUACUGAUAUUGGUGUUCGAAGUGAUGUCAUAAAAGUUGCAGUCGAAGACUUAGCUGUAAACCUUGGCUGGGGUCGCAGCAAUGAAGGAGCUAUUGUGGAACAUGAUGAUUCUAUUCACUUACUUGACAGAUGACAUCAUUCUCAGUGUAUUUUGUAGGAAAUGCUAUUGAUGUUGUAUUGAUUUGUGAUAAGAAUUCUGGUCCAGGAACUGCCAUUUGGCUGUCCAUAUGUGCUACCAUAUCCGAUGUACAUUGAAAAUAAGUUCUUGGUAUUGGUUUGUUAUCCUGUGUGCAAAGAUUUGUCCAUACAUUUUCUGAACUAGUCAUUCU
rnacentral:misc_RNA from 1 species